UGGUAUCAACACUUCAACAGAGAACGGGAAUUUAUGAGGGGGAGUCCCAAGCCCAGUCCGAUGGAGCCUAAAAUCAUAUUAGCGGAAAGCUCCGACUGACAGCAGCUCUUCGGCUACUCUCUAUCUGAGCCUGCUCUUCUUUAAAGUUGGGGGCAAUCUGCUGCAAGAUUUGGAGGGGGAUGGCUUCCCUUUUCAAGGAUCCAUCAAAGCUUUCAGCAUAUAGGGAUAGAAGAUUCCUUGGAUCGCAAGAGGACUUUGAACACGCACUUCAGACAUCAAUUACCGUCUAUGUGGGUAAUAUGUCUUUUUAUACAACUGAAGAACAAGUUUAUGAGCUUUUCUCCCGAGCUGGAGAGAUUAAGAAGAUAAUUAUGGGCUUGGAUAAGAACACGAAAACGCCUUGCGGCUUUUGUUUUGU